UAGUCCGCACGGUAAACGAUGGAUGCCCGCUGUCCGGCCUAUAGGUCGGGCGGCCACGCGAAAGCCUUGAGCACCCCACCUGGGGAGUACGCCGGCAACGGUGAAACUCAAAGGAAUUGACGGGGGCCCGCACAAGCGGAGGAACAUGUGGUUUAAUUCGAUGAUACGCGAGGAACCUUACCCGGGCUUGAAUCGCGGAAGAUUUAUCCGGAGACGGGUAUUCCCCUCGGGGCUUCCGCG
rnacentral:rRNA from 1 species